rnacentral:misc_RNA from 1 species
AAGUCGUAACAAGGUUUCCGUAGGUGAACCUGCGGAAGGAUCAUUAAAGAGAUUUCCUUGCCCUCUUGGGUAGACCUUCAACCCUUUGUAUAUCAUAACCAUUGUUGCUUUGGCAGGCCCGUCUCCGACCGCCGGUGUACUCUGGCCGGCGCCUGCCAGAGGAUCCAAACUCUGAAUAUAUGUAGUCCGAGCAACUUUAAAACAGUUAAAA